UACGUAGGGAGCAAGUGUUGUCCGGAAUCAUUGGGCGUAAAGCGCGCGUAGGUGGCCACAUAAGUCCGUUGUGAAAGUCAAAGGCUCAACCUUUGAAAGCCGAUGGAUACUGUGUGGCUAGAGUACGGAAGAGGCGAGUGGAAUUCCUGGUGUAGCGGUGGAAUGCGCAGAUAUCAGGAGGAACACCAAUAGCGAAGGCAGCUCGCUGGGACGUUACUGACACUGAGGCGCGAAAGCGUGGGGAGCGAACAGG
rnacentral:rRNA from 1 species